GGAGGCGACCAGUUAGUAAGCAAAAAAGGCCGCCGANCCGUCCGAUCUGUGAAGUUAAGCCUGAUCAGGCCAAGUUAGUAUUGAGGUAAGUGAUUACUCGAGAACCCUUGGUGUUGUAUUCU
rnacentral:rRNA from 1 species